ACAUUUUACCAAUCCCAACAUCUCCCAUAAGACCAUCCACAGCAUCAUUCACUUCUUCAAUCAUGAACUCAAUACCAAAAUCUCUCUCUCUCUCACAUGACUUAGCGUGUGCAACUUCCAACCUCCAUUGCUCUACCUCUCUCUCUUUAUACAACCACCGUGAUCUAGCUAUCUGAAGCUGCAACUUUAAUCAUCUCCACACGCACAAAAACAUUACAACAUGAGGCCCAUAUGCUAGCUUUUCUUACCCCCUACGCCAAUCAUCAUCUCCGCCAUUAAUAAGACGACAAAUGCCUCAGUGAUCAUAACUUGAUUUAACGCAAAGACAACAAUCCAACAUCUAGCAACAUUGGCCUUAAACCAUGAACAUGAAUAAAACCUUCUUCUUUUGGCUUUCUGUCUUUCUCAUUGCACUUCUUUCCAUCAUAGUGUCUCUCCCUACCAUUCCUUCUUCUACAACGGCUGCCAUUGCCCAUUCCUCUGAAACUAGCUUUCAACUUGGUUUUCUCGAAAUGUUUUUCAAGCGAAGUGGCAUUUAUAUCUUUCCCUCCUUUAUAGACCGCAUUGCCAGAAGACAUCACCACCACCACCACCGGAGGAGAAGGAGGCGCAACAUUGCAUGCGAUGACUCCAAAUGGAAGUCUAGGCUCAUAUCCGAUUACAACGUGUCACUUGUCUUGACAGUUGAUACACGGGGUUGCGCAAAUUUCAGCAGUGUUCAGAAGGCAGUUGAAGCAGCUCCUGAAUUUAGCCCUUCCCGGAGCCUCAUCAUAAUCGAUUCAGGCACAUACAGGGAGAAAGUAACAGUGCCUGCAAACAAGACAAACUUGAUAUUCCAAGGGCAGGGUUAUCUGAACACGGCCAUAGCUUGGAAUGACACUGCAAAUUCCACAGGAGGAACUGUCUACACCUCCACGGUUGCCAUCUUUGCUCCCAACUUCGUAGCUUACAACGUUAGCUUCCAGAACACUGCUCCUCCGCCUUACCCCGGCGCUGUGGGGGCACAGGCUGUGGCACUGAGAAUUGCAAAUGACCAGGCUGCAUUCUAUGGCUGCGGAUUCUACGGAGCCCAAGACACCCUCAAUGAUGAUCGAGGCCGGCAUUACUUCAAGGACUGUUUCAUCCAAGGGUCUAUUGAUUUCAUCUUUGGAAAUGCUAGAUCACUCUAUGAGGAUUGCACUAUAAAUUCCAUAGCAACGGAAGUGGAGGUUGGGGCAAGUGGAGCCAUCACAGCUCAUGGAAGGCAAUCAGCAAACGAGAACACAGGCUUCUCCUUCGUGAACUGUAACAUUGGUGGAAGCGGCAGAGUUUGGCUUGGAAGAGCUUGGGGUGCUUAUGCUACUGUUUUGUUCUCCAAAACCUACAUGUCUGAGGUUGUUGCAUCCGAUGGACGGAGUGACUGGAGAGACCCCUCUAGAGACCAGUCUGUACUUGAUCCUUGCAUUGCGAUAACACCUUUUCUCUAACAUAUCAAUAUAUAUAUUUCUCAUCUUGCAUGCGAUAAUAGAUAAGGCGAGUGUUGAUAGUAAUUGUUCCUUUCCAAAUAGGAAGGCCAUAAGUUUGAGUAGUGGAAAUUGACUCCCACCCCCACGGCUUUUACAAAGUGGGGAGCCUGGACUGUGUUUUUCGGGGAGUAUGAGUGCUGGGGACCAGGAGCAAACUACACAUUCAGAGUCUCAUACGGGAAGCAACUGAG